UAGAACUGCAGCUUUUGGCUGUUCUCCAGGACUGGUGGGCAACUGUGGCAAGGUCAGCUUCCCCCAAUAUUUUUCUACUUUGGAUAGGAGGACUACCUCUCAGCAUUUCCUGUAAUGGCAUUGCACACCUGUAUACCCAGUCUUUGGCAAUACACAUUACAGAUACUGGCCAAAAAAGAAUUAGAAAAUCAGUGUCAAAGUUGGAUUGUGGUCCCUGAAGACUUAGAUUAAUGGAAUUCUGCUGGAAACAUAAAGGUUGUUUCCCUGCUGUUCACAUCUGUUGCAUCCUGGGAAAAAAACAAAAAGGAAGAUGUUAUGUGAAGAGCUGAUGUUUGCAUCGCCGACUCUCCCUGAUUUGUGCUGAUGAUAGCUGAAGCUGCAGUCUUGGCAUCUUCUACUGCACAUUGUCAUCAGCAAGGUAAGAAGUGCCUUUUGCCUCCUGCCAUGAUUCUGAGGCCUCCCUCCCCAGCCAUGUGGAACC
rnacentral:lncRNA from 1 species